CAUGAGCCGCGUGCGUGCUCCGUACCGAUGCACCGCUGUUCCUUCAACAAAUAUAUAUACUCGCGGGAAUACGGAGGGAGAGAGAGAGUGUAUGAGAGAGAGAGAGAGAGAGAGAGAGAGAGAGAGAGAAAACCGAGCGCGCGAGCGUCGCCGUUACUCCGGAUUCGCUUCGAUCUGCUCUCGCGCGCGCUCUCUCGUAGCGGAGACGGACACCGAACAACGACUUCGUCAUCCCCGUUUACCUUUCGCGCAGCUUAAGCUCGGUAUACACUGAACGAACGAACAUGGAACGAACAGCAAACGCAAACUUUCGUUGUUGGAAAAUUGAAAAGUGCGUACGCCAUAAAUCCGGGACCAGCAACAGAUGUGUGCUUUAUCUAUACGUCAAUUGAGCUAAUGGAGGUACACGCAUAACCUGCAAAGGCGAUGCAAAUAUGGACACGCAUAAUAGGAAGUGAGGUUAUCAAAGAAAGUUCGUGCGCAUUCAAAUGCGAAUAUAUUACAUUCGCUGUUCGUUCGUUCGCUCAGUAUAUACCCACCUUUACAACGCUGGAUCCGGUAUUAUAUAAAUUCCAUUAUUAUUAUUAUUAUUAAAGAGAUAUUUGCGUCGCCUUUGCAGAUCAACUCGUUGGGAUAUGAUUAAACGAUUCAGUAUCUCGAAUAGGAUGAUGGAUGAUGCUAUCGCUAUACGUAAUAUAAUACGUAAUACUGAAGGUCAAGCGCUUUGAGAUUAACUGGCUUUGUUCGAAGUAUCAGAACUACUAAUGAUAUAUAAACUGGAGGAACUAUAGAAUUUGACGUUACUUUUCGCUGAUUUUUCCCGUCGUUUGGUGAGAACGCUGAAUCUAAACACCAUAAUACGAUUGCUUAAUUCGAUAUAUGGCAACUAAGUAAAGCAUACUCGUCGCA